AUUGAACGCUGGCGGCAUGCUUUAUACAUGCAAGUCGUGCGGCAGCGCGGGGGCAACCCAGGCGGCGAGCGGCGAACGGGUGAGUAAUACAUAGGAACGUAUCCUGAAAUGGGGGAUAGCUCGGCGAAAGCCGGAUUAAUACCGCAUACGCUCCACGGAGGAAAGCAGGGGAUCGCAAGACCUUGCGUUUCUGGAGCGGCCUAUGUCUGAUUAGCUAGUUGGCGGGGUAAUAGCCCACCAAGGCGACGAUCAGUAGCUGGUCUGAGAGGAUGAUCAGCCACACUGGGACUGAGACACGGCCCAGACUCCUACGGGAGGCAGCAGUAGGGAAUUUUGGACAAUGGCGCAAGCCUGAUCCAGCCAUGCCGCGUGAGUGAAGAAGGCCU
rnacentral:rRNA from 1 species